CAUUUUGCAGGCAAGCUUGGACUCAAAUUACUUGCUCUUAAUUUCAUCCAGUACCUCCCUGUUUGCUCAUUGUGCUCCCUUCCCCUCUACUGUGGCAGCAGUGACUGGCAGCAGAUGAGUGCAACUUGUAUCAGAGCUUGCUGUUUUCUUCAGCCUAGUCCAUGCUCUGCUUCGUGUGUUCAAAACUAUAUGUUGUUGGAGAGGAAGACAAAAACAGCUUUGCAGGACUUCGAGUCUGUUUCUCACGGAAGUUACUUUGUGCUGUCAGAAUCGAGAAGUUCAAUGAAGAUAAAGCUGCUGACGCCUCUUCUGCAUACACUUCUCCAUACAGUUGUCAAGUGCAACUGUGUUAACUGCUGUGCCUGGUCAACAGCUCUGACCUUAGACACAAGCAAGCUUGCCUGGAAUGCGAUUCUUCAAACUGCUGUUUUCAAACUGCUGAGCAACAGUCAGACAGGGCCACCCUUCUUCCAAGAAGUGCUGGUUAUCACGAGAACAAGAACACAGAAAAUAUAUAUACAUUUAGCAGCAGUAGGAAUGGAGCUACUUGCCUGGGACAGUAAUCUAUCUAAGCACCCUGGCUGCAGACAUUUGCAACUGACACCUAUGACAAAGUGAUUUAAAAUAAAGAGAAGGAUUGAAAAGAGUUUGCCUGCUGCUGAAAUUCC